UUUGUCCUACGGGGCGCAGCAGUGAGGAAUAUUGGUCAAUGGGAGAGAUCCUGAACCAGCCAAGCCGCGUGAGGGAAGACGGCCCUAUGGGUUGUAAACCUCUUUUGUCGGAGAACAAAACCCGGGACGUGUCCCGGACUGCGUGUAUCCGAAGAAAAAGCAUCGGCUAACUCCGUGCCAGCAGCCGCGGUGAUACGGAGGAUGCGAGCGUUAUCCGGAUUUAUUGGGUUUAAAGGGUGCGUAGGCGGACAGUCAAGUCAGCGGUAAAAAUGCGGUGCUCAACGCCGUACAGCCGUUGAAACUGG
rnacentral:rRNA from 1 species